rnacentral:rRNA from 1 species
CCUACGGGUGGCAGCAGUGGGGAAUAUUGGGCAAUGGGCGCAAGCCUGACCCAGCAACGCCGCGUGAAGGAAGAAGGCUUUCGGGUUGUAAACUUCUUUUGUCAGGGAAGAGUAGAAGACGGUACCUGAGGAAUAAGCCACGGCUAACUACGUGCCAGCAGCCGCGGUAAUACGUAGGUGGCAAGCGUUAUCCGGAUUUACUGGGUGUAAAGGGCGUGUAGGCGGGACUGCAAGUCAGAUGUGAUAACCAUGGGCUCAACCUAUUGCCUGCAUUUGAAACUGGAGUGCUUGAGUACUGGAGAGGCAGACGGAAUUCCUAGUGUAGCGGUGAAAUGCGUAGAGAUUAGGAGGAACACCAGUGGCGAAGGCGGUCUGCUGGACAGCAACUGACGCUGAGGCGCGAAAGCGUGGGGAGCAAACAGGAUUAGAUACCCGUGUAGUC